CACUUCUGCCCAGCCCCGGCUCUCGUUUCCUGCCUCAGCUCAGGAGCCAAGGGCUCAGGGGGGUCGGGGCCUCCGGCUUCCUCCGCCGGGCCCAGGCAGCCCUCGCACCCACAUUGCCGGCACGUGACCGGAAACCCAGCCGCUUCUGAGCUCCUCCCGGCUGUUGCACGAGCAGCCCCAGGCUGAAAUGGCCGCAGCGCCUCUGCACUCGUGCUGGGGGGUCCCUGAGCUCCGCUUCUUCCAUUCCCUCCUGGCCUUCUGGUGCGCAUUCGUGGGCAGUGGCUCUGCCGUGACAGUGACCCAGGCGCCAACCUUUGCCAAAGGCUUCCCAGGGAAAGAUGUUUCCUUCAGUUGCUCUGUUGAUGCUGAAGACUACAAGUUUUUUUGGUAUCGCCAAGUGCCUGGGAAGACAGAGCUGGAAGUCCUUGGGUACUUCUCCAGUUUCUCAGACAAACUUGAAGAGAGCCCAGCGGAGUGGAAGGGUCGGCUGAAAGCAAAGUGGAAAGACAGAACAAACAAAAGAUCCAUGAGCUUGGAUCUGACAGUUCAGCCAGAUGACACAGGCUUCUAUCUCUGUGCUCCGGUAGACACGGUGAAUGAGGGAGGAAAUGGGACUGUUACAAAUCUGAAGAACAGAAUAAGCCUCCCCAGCUUUUCCUGAUUUCUUCUGAUGUCAUCUCCAUGCAGCUUUCAUUCAACAUCCUGAGGCCAAAAUGGAAACCUCACCUCUAUCUGCCAUCUCCAAUCGUAGGCCUUCUGGAUGUGCAAGGCUAUAACUUCCAGGCUGGCUAGGGAUGAUGGGAGUUGUACUCCAAAGCAUCCAGUAGACAUCUGGUGGGGAAGGGUCCUACACACUGAGGACACACAGAUGGCUUCAUACAAACUCAUUUGCAUUGUGCUAGUAUUAGCCCAGGGUGCUCCCUUUCCAAAACCAUUCUGUAAGAACCCCAGGGUAUGAGGUGCAGCCUCAACUCCCACAUUCCUACAAGCCACAAUGCACAGUAGUUGUCUUGUCUUGUCUUGUCUUAGGGUGUGGUGAAUUCAGCCCCUGUGGUUCUUGUAGUUAGUAUGUUAAUUAUGGUUGAUUCCAUAAACCAUGAUUAAAACCACCAAGACAUAUGCUGUAUGCAAACCCAGUCACCAAAUGCCCUUUCCAGGAGAACUCUAUCUCAUCCUGGAACGUGAUGGUGGACCUCUGCCUGUGGGGAAAGACUUUAUAUCUUCCACUAAAGAAACCUAGGAUCAGCCUACAUAGGUCUGUGAUUUGGGGUAUGGGAGAUUUUUUUUAGGUCUGUGCAUGAGCUUUUCUGUAUAAAGCAACAGGGUCCUGCCACAGCUAUAAUGUCUAUAAAAUCUAUACAACAUCACAACCUAUUUGGGGAACAGGUAACUCGGUUGACAUACUUCUGGGUAUUGCCCUAGG